AACAGAUAAUAAGCAGGAGGAGAGAGAAAGAGAGAGAGAGGAGGAUCAAUGAGUAAAUCAAGAAUGAAUAAAUUUGCAGAAGAUGCAAAUCAGUAGCGGUAAAUGGAAGCUGGUUCUCCACAUAUAAAGUGAGGUAACUCUCCACAAUAUCUCUCUCUCUCUCUCUCUCUCUCUCUCCCUAAUCCCCUUACUUU